GACGAACGCUGGCGGCGUGCCUAAUACAUGCAAGUUGAGCGCUGAAGGUUGGUACUUGUACCGACUGGAUGAGCAGCGAACGGGUGAGUAACGCGUGGGGAAUCUGCCUUUGAGCGGGGGACAACAUUUGGAAACGAAUGCUAAUACCGCAUAAAAACUUUAAACACAAGUUUUAAGUUUGAAAGAUGCAAUUGCAUCACUCAAAGAUGAUCCCGCGUUGUAUUAGCUAGUUGGUGAGGUAAAGGCUCACCAAAGCGAUGAUACAUAGCCGACCUGAGAGGGUGAUCGGCCACAUUGGGACUGAGACACGGCCCAAACUCCUACGGGAGGCAGCAGUAGGGAAUCUUCGGCAAUGGACGAAAGUCUGACCGAGCAACGCCGCGUGAGUGAAGAAGGUUUUCGGAUCGUAAAACUCUGUUGGUAGAGAAGAACGUUGGUGAGAGUGGAAAGCUCAUCAAGUGACGGUAACUACCCAGAAAGGGACGGCUAACUACGUG
rnacentral:rRNA from 1 species